rnacentral:lncRNA from 1 species
UUUAAUGGUAUAAAUAACACCUGCCUCACCUCCCUCCCAGGAUUGUUCCAAGGAUUACCUGAGACUGUGUCUGUGGAAGCACUCUGAAAAUGCUAAACAACUGCAUAAAUAAGGGGUGUCAUUAACAUCGUCAUUCAGUAGCUCACCUGGUUAAAACAUGGUUUCCUGAAGUUUGGGGAAGCUGAGCAAAGACUCACGUCUCCACAUUCCAAGUUCCAUGAUGGCCUUGGAGAGGGAGGGAACCAAAGGAAGAGGAAAAUGGGAAACAGUAACUAUUAAAGAGUAACCUGAC